GAUGAACGCUGGCGGCGUGCUUAACACAUGCAAGUCGAACGAAGCAUUUAAGACAGAUUACUUCGGUUUGAAGUCUUUUAUGACUGAGUGGCGGACGGGUGAGUAACGCGUGUGUAACCUGCCUCAUACAGGGGGAUAGCAGCUGGAAACGGCUGGUAAUACCGCAUAAGCGCACAGUACCACAUGGUACAGUGUGAAAAACUCCGGUGGUAUGAGAUGGACCCGCGUCUGAUUAGCUUGUUGGCGGGGUAACGGCCCACCAAGGCGGCGAUCAGUAGCCGAGAAGAGAGGGAGACAGGCAACAUUGGGACUGAGACACGGCACAGAAUACUACGGGAGGAAGCAGUGGGGAAUAUAGAAAAAUGGAGGAAAAUCUGAUGAAGCGAGGACGGGUGAGUGAAGAAGUAGUUAGAUAAGUAAAGCUAUAUCAGAAGGGAAGAUAGUGACGGUACCUGACUAAGAAGCACCGGCUAAAUACGUG
rnacentral:rRNA from 1 species